ensembl:lncRNA
AUAGUAUUGUAUAGUACAGUAGUAUAUAGUAGAGUACAGUAGACAGAAGUGUAUAGUAUUGUAUAGUACAGUAGACAGUAGUGUAUAGUAUUGUAUAGUAGAGUAGUGUAUAGUAGAGUACAGUAGACAGUAGUGUACAGUAUUGUAUAGUACAGUAGUGUAUAGUAUUGUAUAGUACAGCAGUGUAUAGUACAGUAGAGUACAGUAGUGUAUAGUAGAGUACAGUACAGUAGUGUAUAGUAGAGUAGAGUACAGUAGUGUAUAGUAGAGUAGUGUAUAGUAUAGUACAGUAGUGUAUAGUAGAGUACAGUACAGUAGUGUAUAGUAGAGUAGUGUACAGUACAGUAGUGUAUAGUAGAGUAGUGUACAGUACAGUAGUGUAUAGUAGAGUAGUGUAUAGUAGAGUAGUGUAUAGUAUAGUACAGUAGUGUAUAGUAGAGUAGUGUAUAGUAUAGUAUAGUACAGUAGUGUAUAGUAUUGUAUAGUACAGUAGUGUAUAGUAUUGUAUAGUAGAGUAGUGUAUAGUAUUGUAUAGUAGAGUAUAGUUUAGUACAGUACAGUGGUGUAUAGUAUUGUAUAGUAGAGUAUAGUAGAGUACAGUAGAGUAGUGUAUAGUACAGUAGAGUAGUGUAUAGUAUUGUAUAGUAGAGUAGUGUAUAGUAGAGUAGUGUAUAGUAUUGUAUAGUAGAGUAGUGUAUAGUAUUGUAUAGUGGAGUAGUGUAUAGUAUUGUAUAGUAGAGUAGUGUAUAGUAGAGUACAGUAGUGUACAGUAGAGUAUAGUAGAGUACAGUAGAGUAUAGUAGAGUACAGUAGAGUAGUGUAUGGUAUUGUAUAGAGUAGUGUAUAGUAUUGUAUAGUAGUGUAUAGUACAGUAUAGUAUAGUAGAGUACAGUAGAGUAGUGUAUAGUAUUGUAUAGUAGAGUAGUGUAUAGUAUUGUAUAGUAGUGUAUAGUACAGUGGAGUAGAGUAUAGUAGAGUACAGUAGUGUAUAGUGGAGUACAGUAGAGUAGUGUAUAGUAUUGUAUAGUAGAGUAGUGUAUAGUAUUGUAUAGUAGAGUAGUGUAUAGUAUUGUAUAGUAGUGUAUAGUACAGUAGAGUAGAGUAUAGAGUACAGUAGAGUAUAGUGGAGUACAGUAGAGUAGUGUAUAGUAUUGUAUAGUAGAGUAGUGUAUAGUAUUGUAUAGUAGAGUAGUGUAUAGUAUUGUAUAGUAGUGUAUAGUACAGUAGAGUAUAGUAUAGUAGAGUACAGUAGAGUAUAGUGGAGUACAGUAGAGUGGUGUAUAGUAUUGUAUAGUAGAGUAGUGUAUAGUAAUGCAUAGUAGAGUAGUGUAUAGUAUUGUAUAGUAGUGUAUAGUGUAUAGUAGUGUAUAGUAUAGUAGUGUAUAGUAGAGUAUAGUAGUGUAUAGUGCAGUAGUGUAUAGUACAGUAGAGUACAGUAGAGUACAGUAGAGUACAGUAGAGUACAGUAGAGUAGAGAACAGGUCCACUGUAGUCCAGGGCAGGGUCAGGUUAAAUGUACAGUAGAGUACAGUAGAGUACAGUAGAGUACAGUAGAGUACAGUAGAGUACAGUAGAGUAGAGAACAGGUCCACUGUAGUCCAGGGCAGGGUCAGGUUAAAUGUAGAGUAGAGUACAGUAGAGUAGAGAACAGGUCCACUGUAGUCCAGGGCAGGGUCAGGUUAAAUGCUGCAAAUGUA